UGAUUUGUAUUUCAUCGCGGAUGCAUUACCUUUGCAAUGAGUGGUUGCAUAGCAUCCAGGAACACGGUGUGAAUCCGUGGCGGUCCCGCCGCUGUAACCGGGAACUGAACCUGCACAAGAUCCCCGGAAGGGGAUGGUCACUGUUCCGGCAUACCGGAAUGGGAAGGUCUGCGGGGGAGGAAUGAUCCGGGAGCCAGAAGACCUGCUGUGACGAACCCUUACCA
rfam:Chlorobium luteolum DSM 273, complete genome.